GUGUCAGCCGCCGCGGUAAUACGAAGGGGGCUAGCGUUGUUCGGAAUUACUGGGCGUAAAGCGCGCGCAGGCGGUCUUCCAAGUCAGUGGUGAAAGCCUGGAGCUCAACUCCAGAACUGCCAUUGAAACUGUUAGACUUGAGUACGAGAGAGGUGAGUGGAAUUCCCAGUGUAGAGGUGAAAUUCGUAGAUAUUGGGAAGAACACCAGUGGCGAAGGCGGCUCACUGGCUCGUAACUGACGCUCAGGCGCGACAGCGUGGGGAUCAAACAGGAUUAGAUACCCUGGUAGUCCACGCCGUAAACGAUGAAUGCUAGCCGUUGGAUAGCUUGCUAUUCAGUGGCGCAGCUAACGCAUUAAGCAUUCCGCCUGGGGAGUACGGCCGCAAGGUUGAAACUUAAAUGAAUUGACGGGG
rnacentral:rRNA from 1 species